GACGAACGCUGGCGGCGUGCUUAACACAUGCAAGUCGAACGGAAAGGCCCUGCUUUUGUGGGGUGCUCGAGUGGCGAACGGGUGAGUAACACGUGAGUAACCUGCCCUUGACUUUGGGAUAACUUCAGGAAACUGGGGUUAAUACCGGAUAGGAGCUCCUGCUGCAUGGUGGGGGUUGGAAAGUUUCGGCGGUUGGGGAUGGACUCGCGGCUUAUCAGCUUGUUGGUGGGGUAGUGUCUUACCAAGGCUUUGACGGGUAGCCGGCCUGAGAGGGUGACCGGCCACAUUGGGACUGAGAUACGGCCCAGACUCCUACGGGAGGCAGCAGUGGGGAAUAUUGCACAAUGGGCGGAAGCCUGAUGCAGCAACGCCGCGUGCGGGAUGACGGCCUUCGGGUUGUAAACCGCUUUCGCCUGUGACGAAGCGUGAGUGACGGUAAUGGGUAAAGAAGCACCGGCUAACUACGUG
rnacentral:rRNA from 1 species